UACGGAGGGUGCAAGCGUUAUCCGGAUUCAUUGGGUUUAAAGGGCGCGUAGGCGGGCAGGUAAGUCAGUGGUGAAAUCCCCGAGCUUAACUUGGGAACUGCCGUUGAUACUAUCUGUCUUGAAUAUCGUGGAGGUGAGCGGAAUAUGUCAUGUAGCGGUGAAAUGCUUAGAUAUGACAUAGAACACCAAUUGCGAAGGCAGCUCGCUACACGAAUAUUGACUCUGAGGCACGAAAGCGUGGGGAUCAAACAGG
rnacentral:rRNA from 1 species